CUACGGGGGGCUGCAGUGGGGAAUAUUGCGCAAUGGGGGAAACCCUGACGCAGUGACGCCGUGUGAGUGAUGAAGGUUUUCGGAUCGUAAAGCUCUGUCAGACGGGAAGAAUAAGAACAGUAAAAAUAUUGCUGUUUGAUGACGGUACCGUCAGAGGAAGCACCGGCUAACUCCGUGCCAGCAGCCGCGGUAAUACGGAGGGUGCAAACGUUGUUCGGAAUUACUGGGCGUAAAGCGCAUGUAGGCGGAUAUGUAGGUCAGAUGUGAAAUCCCUUGGCUCAACCAAGGAAGUGCAUCUGAAACCCCAUAUCUUGAGUACGAGAGAGGGAAGUGGAAUUCCCAGUGUAGAGGUGAAAUUCAUAGAUAUUGGGAAGAACACCGGUGGCGAAGGCGGCUUUCUGGCUCGUAACUGACGCUGAGAUGCGAAAGCGUGGGGAGCAAACAGGAUUAGAUACCCCCGUAGUC
rnacentral:rRNA from 1 species